AACAAACUCUGUUGUCACAGCCAUUCGUCGAAAGCCACCACCUGCCGGUGACGCCCCCGCUCCGGACGGUACCGCUGCUCUCAAGGAUUUUAGGAACAAUACCAACUCGUUGUUCGAUUCUUCAAUCGAGAUUUUUCAUUCGUUGAUUCGCUUCUCAGUUUUCGCAAUCAUUUCUUGAGGGAUCGAAGGAGGAUAGAGAAUUUCGAAUUGUUUUCGUGAUUUCAUUCUUUUAUUUUAUGUUAUUCACUAGAGUCGUUUUGUGUUCCUAUUCUUCCGCUUUUCGACGAGUUUUCUGCCAUAUAGGGUGAUUCGCUAUUGGAUUUGCGUUGAUUCGAUUGGACGGGAUUUCGUUGCAAUCAUGACUCAGGCGGUGGAGGUACUGAACCGGUAUGGGACGGAUCUGGUGGGGGAAGCGAGGGGUUCGGAUUCAGAGUGUUUGGCGGGAUUUGAGUGUUUUCUGAACAUUGUGAGGGCACUGGGAAUGGGAUCGUGCAUUUCGGAGGUUGGUGGUAGCGGUAGUUCCCCCCCUCUUCUACCUUAUUCGCCUGAGUCCAAUUUGGAUGGUGGGAAGAGGAGGAGGUUGAGGGGUUCCUCAUCCUUUGAUUGUAAGGUGCCUGGGAGAAUGUUUUUGAAUGGGUCAAGCGAGGUUGCAUCCUUGUAUUGCAAGCAAGGUAGAAAAGGGAUCAACCAAGAUGCUAUGCUUGUUUGGGAGAACUUUUGUCAAAGGGAGGACACCAUUUUUUGUGGUGUUUUUGAUGGUCAUGGACCUUAUGGCCAUAGAGUUGCAAAGAGAGUUAGGGAUUCUUUCCCUUUAAAGCUUAAUGCCCAAUGGGAUUUGCAUCAUAAGAAUAAAGAUGGACUCAGCGAUCAUAGCAGUGCUGCCGGAAGUUAUAAAUCUGACGGGCCUGGCUAUAGACUGGUUGAUGAGAAACCUAGUCCCACUGAUCAUGAACUUGAUGAAACAGAUACAAUUUUGACACUAAAAGAUUCUUUUUUGAAGGCUUGUAAGAAUAUGGAUAAAGAACUGAAACUACAUCCUGAUAUUGACUGCUUUUGCAGUGGCACUACAGCAGUUACCUUGGUCAAGCAAGGGCUGGACCUUGUUAUUGGAAAUGUUGGAGACUCGAGAGCUGUGUUGGGUACCCGAGAUCAUGAUGAGUCUCUCAUUGCUGUUCAAUUGACCAUUGAUCUUAAGCCAAAUCUUCCAAGGGAAGAAGAGAGGAUCAAGCAUCGUAAAGGAAGGGUUUUUUCCCUUCAGAAUGAACCUGAUGUGGCUCGAGUUUGGCUGCCUAACUCUGAUUUCCCUGGACUUGCUAUGGCACGGGCAUUUGGAGAUUUUUGCCUCAAGGACUUUGGAUUAAUUUCUGUUCCGGAUGUCUCUUAUCACCGCCUUACUGAGAAGGAUGAAUUUGUUGUGUUAGCAACAGAUGGGAUUUGGGAUGUUCUAUCAAAUGAAGAAGUCGUGGACAUUGUUGCAUCUGCUUCACAGUCUACUGCUGCUCGAACACUGGUUGAAUCAGCUGUUCAAGCAUGGAGGACAAAAUUUCCUUUUUGUAAGGUUGAUGAUUGUGCUGCAGUUUGCCUCUUCUUUGAUUCAAAUUCAGACUUCAAGUCAGCAGAUAACAAAGAUGAGUUGACACCAGAGGCAUUUAUUGACCAAUCUGAGCAGUUAUCUCAACGUCAUGAAAAGGGAAUUGGAAUGGAAGCUGAAAAACAGUAGCAAUAGCAUAAGUUUUGUACCAUGUCUCUCCCAAGCCUCGUUGGUUUUAUUGAGAAGGUUGGGAAAUUUGUGCUGCAACAGUCAAAGAGAAAGGAUCAUUAUUUUGAUGAUUUUUUCGGUAGUUUUCUGCCAAUAUUCUUUUCAUUAUUCAUCUUUCAUUUCCUUCGACAGCAUUUGAGGAAGGAAAGGGGGAUUAUAUAUAAUCUUAUAUCUGGAGGAAAAGUGGUACCGGGCUCCUUUUUGUUUUUGCUGAAGCCAUAACAAAGUCGGCGUAGGGGAGGAGUAUGUUUCAACAAAAGAAAACUUUUAUGCUAGGUGUGCUGGUUCUGACUAUUGUCGAUAGAAUUGCCGGGGAUGAUGCUCUAGCAACCCGUGUGGAAGUUAAGAUGGUACUAUACGGGAUGUUGGAAUUCUCGGUGUCUGCUCGACAUUGCUAAGUACUAGUGUUGUAAUAACCUGAUGAAUACGUUGCCGAAUGAACUAAUGUGAAAGCAUGUCCAAAUCAGGGAAGCGAAGUUGAUUUGAGGGAGCAUCUAGAUUCUAUAAGAUCUUGACUAUGCUAACCUCAAUGAGAUAAUGGAGCACUAACGCAGAAUGAUGUUUACUUCCUUUGUGCUGGGGGGUUGCCUGAUUAGUUUCUUCCGUGUAUUGGGUGUGGUAUUCCGCGUGGAUUUGUCAUUACUCAUGUAAGACCCGAGGAUGGGAAAAAUUAUUGUGUGCUACUACCACUUUCAUUUAAUGGACGUUGACUGUUUAUUUGUUUUCUAUGCUGAAGCUUCAACUUUUCUCU